GGAAGAUCCGCACAUGAUUGGGCGGAUAGCUUGUGCCAACGUGCUGAGUGACCUCUACGCCAUGGGCAUCACGGAAUGUGACAACAUGUUACUGUUACUCAGUGUCGGCCAGAAUAUGAAUGAGGAGGAGUGAGAAAAGGUAACACCACUCAUGAUCAAAGGUUUCCGGGAUGCUGCUGAGGAGGGAGGAACUGCAGUCACAGAACUGGGGAUAGAACUCAGGACCUUGUAAAACAUGUUCUUUUAAAUAAAUGACAGAAAAUGAACCUGAAAAGGUCACCAAAUAUGCUAAACUAUUCCGAAAAUUUAAGUGGCUUGCUGUGUCAGUUGAUGCUUACCAGAGUCAGAUGUAGAAGAAUGGAAGAGGUCCGCGCUGGA
rnacentral:lncRNA from 1 species